UGCAAGUCGAACGAGACCUUCGGGUCUAGUGGCGCACGGGUGAGUAACGCGUGGAAACCUACCAUUCUGUACGGAAUAACGAUUGGAAACGAUCGCUAAUACCGUAUACGCCCUGUGGGGGAAAGGUCCGCCGCAGAAUGAGGGGUCCGCGUCCGAUUAGCUUGUUGGUGGGGUAAAAGCCUACCAAGGCGAUGAUCGGUAGCUGGUCUGAGAGGAUGAUCAGCCACACUGGGACUGAGACACGGCCCAGACUCCUACGGGAGGCAGCAGUGGGGAAUAUUGGACAAUGGGGGCAACCCUGAUCCAGCAAUGCCGCGUGUGUGAAGAAGGCCUUAGGGUUGUAAAGCACUUUCAAUGGUGAAGAUGAUGACGGUAGCCGUAGAAGAAGCCCCGGCUAACUUCGUGCCAGCAGCCGCGGUAAUACGAAGGGGGCGAGCGUUGUUCGGAAUUACUGGGCGUAAAGGGCGCGCAGGCGGCCAAUCCAGUCAGGUGUGAAAGCCCCGGGCUUAACCUGGGAACUGCACUUGAUACUGAUUGGCUAGAAAACGGAAGAGGGCAGUGGAAUUCCCAGUGUAGAGGUGAAAUUCGUAGAUAUUUGGGAAGAACACCAGUGGCGAAAGCGGCUGCCUGGUCCGAUUUUGACGCUGAGGCGCGAAAGCGUGGGUAAGCAAACAAGGAAUAAGAUACCCUGGUAGUCCA
rnacentral:rRNA from 1 species